rnacentral:lncRNA from 1 species
ACACUUGUGAUGGGGUCAUUAAAGAUCUAUACUAAAUAUAAUACUGGUUAGUGGCAGCUCAUGGAAAGGCUCUUGAAUUAGCUUUAGAGGAAAUUACAGUAAGAUGAGGAUUGUUUUACUGAGGAAAAAGAUUGAAAAGCCCCAAAUAGUGUAGCAUAUAUCUUCAUCACGUACUAUAAAAUUCUAUUAUUACACUGUUUGUUCUCAUCACA